rnacentral:rRNA from 1 species
UACAGAGGGUGCAAGCGUUGUCCGGAAUCAUUGGGCGUAAAGCGCGUGUAGGCGGCUGAGUAAGUCUGCUCUGAAAGCCCGGGGCUCAACCCCGGGAGGCGGGUGGAUACUGCUCAGCUCGAGUCCGGAAGAGGAGUGUGGAAUUCCUGGUGUAGCGGUGAAAUGCGCAGAUAUCAGGAGGAACACCAAUGGCGAAGGCAGCACUCUGGGACGGUACUGACGCUGAGACGCGAAAGCGUGGGGAGCAAACAGG